rnacentral:rRNA from 1 species
GACGAACGCUGGCGGCGUGCCUAAUGCAUGCAAGUCGUGCGCUCUUCAGCUUGCUGGAGAGAGCGGCGGACGGCUGAGUAGCGCGUGGGUCAUCUGCCCCGAAGUGGGGAUAACGCUCCGAAAGGAGUGCUAAUCCCGCAUACCUUCCCUCGGGAAGAAAGCCGCAAGGCGCUUUGGGUGGAGCCCGCGUCCCAUUAGCUUGUUGGCGGGGUAAAAGCCCACCAAGGCUGUGAUGGGUGGCUGGUCUGAGAGGACGACCAGCCAGACUGGGACUGAGACACGGCCCAGACUCCUACGGGAGGCAGCAGCAAGGAAUUUUCCGCAAUGGGCGCAAGCCUGACGGAGCAACGCCGCGUGGAGGAUGACGGCUCU